rnacentral:piRNA from 1 species
UGGAGAUGUCCAGAAUUGGGCGAGGUGUUA